rnacentral:tRNA from 1 species
GGGGUUGUGGCUCAGUGGUAGAGUGCUUGCCUAGCAUGUGUGAUACACUGGGUUCGAUUCUCAGCACCA